CUUGACUCUAGUCUGGCACUGUGAGGAGACAUGAGAGGUGUAGCAUAAGUGGGAGAUCCUCCGGGGUCGCCAGUGAAAUACCACUACUUUCAUCGUUUCCUCACUUACUCGGUGAGGCGGAACGCGCGCGCCAUUCCUAGUGUUUGGCGUGCGGACUUCUAGAACCAAGUCCGUCAAGUGUUUCACUUCUCGGACGAUCCGAUCCGAGGACACUGCCAGGCGGGGAGUUUGACUGGGGCGGUACAUCUGUCAAAGAAUAACGCAGGUGUCCUAAGGCCAGCUCAGCGAGGACAGAAACCUCGCGUAGAGCAAAAGGGCAAAUGCUGGCUUGAUCCCGAUGUUCAGUAAGCAUAGGGACCGCGAAAGCGGGGCCUAUCGAUCCUUUUGGCUUGGAGAGUUUCCAGCAAGAGGUGUCAGAAAAGUUACCACAGGGA
rnacentral:rRNA from 1 species